GCCGCCUUUGAAUCCCCCUCCUCUCUCAAAUCCUCUCUAUAACAAUAUCAAACCCUAGCCGCCACCACCUUAAUCUACCCUAAUCUAUGGCUCUCCAGGAUCAUCUAAGACCUGUAUCAGCCUCACAUGGCUUCUACGUGUUCGUUUCUGUGGUCUCAUGACCAGAUCUGAAGGGGCUUGGUCCAGUCUUUGCUCGCUGUUCUCCGGUCGUCUCUGACCUUUCUCUGGUCAGCCAUGGCCGUUCGAGUCAGACCCUUGACGCUCUUGCUUAGAUCGAUGUCUUUCAAGGCCUUUCUCGUCACUUAGGGUUCUUUUGAAACCCUAAUCUCUAAGAGCUUGUCGACUUCUUUCAGGUUCACUUUAGAUCUAUUCUUGCUAUGAGUUUUUAAAUGCCUUCUCGAAGCUUCUUUAAUUUUGCUUUCAGAAAAAAAAGGACUCUUCAUCUUUUUCUGAUUAGGGUUUUCCUUCAAGUUCUUCUUUUCAAAAUCUUUUCUGAGUUUAGUAUGAUAAAAACCCCAAUUUCUUUUGGGGUUUCUGAGACUAUUUGUUAAGUGUUUGUUUAAUUUACUUGUUUAUCAUCUCUAGACUCUAUGGGUGAUAAAAACCCUAAUUACUUUGGGUUCGUUUGAGUUUCUGAGACGAUUUGCUAAAUAUUGUCUGAUUUAUUUGUUCAUCAUCUUUAAUCUCGAUCGAUGUUGAAACCCUAAUUUCUUUUGGGGUCUAUUCGAGUUUCUGAAACUGCUUGUGCGAUUUAUUUGUUUAUCAUCUUCUAAGCUUGAAUGUUAUUAAGGAAAACCUAUGACUUUGGGUUUGAAAUCGCACGUUGGAAUACCUAACUUGAUUUGAAGUUCUUUUGUUUCAGCAUCUCUUUUCUUUAUGUGAUUCCUUUGAUUCUGGGCUCUUACUAUCUUUGAAACUCGACUAUUCUUUUCAGAAGUGUUUUCGCACUUGACCCUUUGCAUGCUUUUGAUACUCUAUCCUUUUUUUUUCUUUUCUCUAUACUACUGAUUCAAUGAAACUUGACCUACGUGACUAUCAUGUUUCGAAUGUUUGUUGUCUACUAACUUUGUGCUACUAUUGCAUGCUGUUUCUUUUUCCAAUAGUUUAGCCUCGCAUGUCCAUCAUUUGUGCACUCUAUUUAUAUGCAGAGGAUGAGUUAUCGGAGUUUAGCAAGGUGGCUGCCAGCGUUCGCAACACUGCUUUUCUUCCUUUUCGUUCAUCAGUCCUAUUUUGUACAUUUCAGACCUUGUAGUUAUAUUUAUACUCUAAUAGAUGCUCGUGACUUGUGACACCCCGGCAUCGGACUGUGUUUGGGCUGUAUUCCGCACUUUAUAAAGAAAUCUUUUUCGUAGUUUGUGGUUAUCUAAUCAUACUAAAAUUGUUUAUUAAUAUUAACUAUUCUGAAAAGGCGAAAUGGGUUAGUUGGCUUGCCUUGUCUUCACGAGAGGCGCCAUCACGACCGGAUCGGGGUUUUGAGUCGUGACAUGUUGGUAUCAAAGCCUAGGUUACAUAGGUCCCAUGAGUCAUGAGCAGGUUUAGUAGAGUCUCGCGGAUCGGUACGGAGACGUCUGUAUUUGUCCUCGAGAGGCUGCAGAACCUUUGGUAAAAUCUUCAUAUUCUUGAAUUCCUAUCAUGCGUCCUUGAUUUAGCUUGAAAAGUAACUCUUGAAAUUCCUUCCACGUGUUCGUAUGCACGCAUGAGUGCUCAGUAUCAGAUGUGCCUUUAUGGCUUGUGAUUCCCUGAUCGGAGGGCGAGAUAUGAUCUUUGUGAGUUGAUGUUGGGCCAGUCUGGAGGACUUGAGGUCGGAUCUUUGCCUAUGGCUUGAGCACCGAGGUGCUGAUUGUGUGAGCAAGUGUUUUGAACUUAUAUGUUCUGUAUUGUCCCUAUUAGUGGGGGUGACGGUUGGGUAACUAUGUGAUGAGUAUGUUAGUACUACGAGAUGUAUCUAUACGACUUGGAAGUAAUGAGGAAUGCCUGCUGGAGGAUAGAAGAACUAUUAGGUGGUGGAAUUCCAUCUUGAUUCGAGGUAUAGCCCUGAGUUAUGGGCGUGUGAAGGAUCUUUUCACGUUUCCCAAUUGAGAGUGAAGUAAAUUUCAUGUUGCGGUAUGAGUUUAUACUCAAGAAGACUAAGUGACUGCGUAUAGUUUAUGACGGUGAAAGGUAUAUGGAAAUGUUAAUUGAAGGCAAAGCAGGUGGAUUAUCUUCGCAAAGUGUUCUGGGGUGGUGAGAACCCUAUUUGACUACUAGAAGAUCUCAUGUGCAAGUGAAACAUAUGUGUGAAUUUAAUUUGGGUCGCUUGAGAGAGUGGGUUUAACUGUUGCGAGAAUGAGUGCGAGGUUUGCCGAAGAUUUAAGUACUAGAUGCUCUGUGUUUUCACAAGCUUACAAAGGAUUUGAGUUUAAUCUCACUAUAGUAUUGUGGCAUCAAUGUAAUAUAAGUGUUAUGAGUUAUUGAGUGUAUUUUGAUCUAUGGCUUCGAGCCAAGUGGGGGAGUCUGUUGUUGAUUAGUUGAUUGCACGGCUAGGUGCUAUGUCGGUUCUAGUUUGAGGCGUUCGGGUGAAUCAGUUAUGGCCUACGGGAAUUGAGACCGAGGAUGGCUCGAGUAAAACAAAAUCUUAACAAGGUACAUAGUAUGCUUCAUAAGUGUGUAAGAAUCACGGAAUGUCUUGAGUUGUUAGUGGAUGACUUGCGAGAAUGGUUCUAAUGUGUUCAAGAGUCUGCCUAUAUCAAUUGAGUAUUCCAAAGUCGCAUAUGCGGUUAGAAAUUGAGUUUCAUUGGAAGAUGUCAAGACUUGUGGUGUUUUCUAUAUUAAUUGUGGAAUUCUAUGUAUCAGUAUGAGGAGGUAACGGAUUUAGAUUCACAGGAAGUUCUUCAGAGCAAGGUAUUUCGAAUGUGGUACUUUUGGGAAUACUUAAGAGAGUAUUCAGCGGCUUAUGAGUCUUAGACAAUGUGGUUUUAUGCUUGGGUCUCGUGUGGUAAUCCUGGUAUCAAAAAUUUUGGUGCUACAGUAAGAGAGAAUAUCAAGUUGAAGAUGAAUCAGAAGGAAAGUUAGAUAGAUGGAGUAGCUUGAUAGUAUACCGAAUCGGUAUAGUAAGGAUAUGAUUAAUUCCUGGUGUGUGUUCGAGGUAAUAAGUUCUUUCAGGUGUUUUGCGGCGAUGCUCUUAGGUUUUGAUGGCUUGCUUAGCUUGAUCGAGUUAGAAGGAUUCAGUCCUGACAUGGCUGAUUUGUGCAAAGGGAACUCGGAGAGUUCUUGAUGGUUUUUACCACGGUUUGGAGAUGUAUAUUUUCUAUGGGCAUGCGGAGCAUGGGAUGUAUGAUGAUUUUCCUUCUAUAUUGGGACCAAUGGAAAGUUCUUGACCAAUUGAGUACGUAGUUGUUUGUGGCUCGGAAGGAAGAUGAAGUUCUCAUGUUAUCCAGAGAUGGUAUGGUAUAUGCAGUAAGUUGUGGAGGAUUGACAAUUGCGUGUGGAAGGUUACAGUUCAGUUCUGAACGGAAAGUCAUGAAUUCUUAGGUAGUACAAGAAGUUUCAGAUGAUUAAGGAAGUGGUAGUGCUAAUUGGGGUGAUUUGACGAGGGUAUAUGUUUCAGAAAAGACAAUGUGAUUAAGUUAAUGGCACUUCGGUAGUAUCAUGGCAUUUCCUUGUUAGAUCGACUGGCGAUAUUUGGGAUUGCUUGUUGGCACAGGGAAAUUUUAGAGUAUCUAUCGUGGGAUGAUUGGGUAUUAAAGGUGUGGCAUGUGUUCGGACAGCGAAAUUGGGAUCGGAUAUGGUGAUUCAUGUGCCGUGUGGAUGUGGAGACGGAAGUUCUAAUAUUCAGGCUAUGAUGUAGUUGUAGAUCGCGUGUAUCGGCAUUUUUUGGCAACUGCCGGGAUUUGGAGGCCCGAGUUGAUCUUUCUUUGCUUGGUAUGUUAGAUUCUGCAUGUGAUAUUAGGGUUUAGGCUGGUUGUCUCCGUGUUGGGUUAUUCUGGACUAUUACGCUAUGGGCUAUGCCGGGAAUGCCACGGGUUGAAUAGCGAGGUGCGUCGGAUUAUGCCCUGGUAGAGUGGUUUUACAUUUCGAAGACUCAGCGGACGGCUGGGAAGGAUUUGUCUUUCUUACUUGGGCUCUUGUGAUGAGUGUCAAUGCUGAGGCUCCUCAUAUUGAUCCAGUUCCGGUGGUGUUGGACUUUUCGGAUGUGUUUCUUGUGGCCGGGCAUGUCGCCGGGCAGGGUUGUCGAUUUCGGUAUUGAUUUGGUGCCGGGCAUUGUAUCGUAUGGCACCGGCAGAGUUAAGGAGUUGAAAGAAACAGCUUCAGGUUUUCCCUUGAUAAAGAGUUCGCUGGUAGGCCAAUGUGGAUGCGUGUUCUAACUUGAGUCGGCUUGGUUGGCUCCGAAUUGCAUUGUUAAGGGAUGUGUCGAUUCGACUGUUGUUGAGACUACUGGUGAUCCGGGGAGAUCUAUGAGUUUCCUUUCUAGGUUGCGAGACGUUAUGAUUUGUUGGUUAUGGGCACAUAUGGUGCGGUUCUAUUGGGGUUCAUAGUGGAAGUCGAGCGGGAAAAGUAAUUGGGUGUUGCUUGGUGGAUGGCGUAUCGGUUACGUCCUAUCGAGUCUGCGUGGCAUAUGUUCCUUGUUUCUCCAUGGGUGUAGUGAAUUGCUUUGGUUCCAGGUGUCAAAUUGUGCAUGGUUGUAAAUUUCGAGCAUAGUAACUUGAGGUGUUUCAUGUGGAACAGUGUUUGGAUAGGAUCACGCAUUUUGCAGCGAAGCUAUGUGGAUAUAUGACCUUGCGGGUUAGAUUCGGGUGUUCUAUUUCUAUGAUGUGAGACGGGUCCUCAGCCUUGUGUUGUGGUGGUACGGGUGAGCUUGAGGUAAAACUCUUUCAUUUGAGUCAUCUUCAUGAUUUGAGUAUGUUCGGACCGUUGCUUAUUGGUGCGCGUAUUAUGCCAGUUGUGUCUUAGGCCUUUAUUGACGUGUCAUGUCACCGGAGUGAUGUGUUGGGUUAGAGGAGAUCGUUGGGAUCAUUGAUGAAUACGAACGGAUUCAAUUUUAGCAUGUUGGAAGGACAAGAUCGAGGUUCGGCUCAGAAAUUUGCUAUGGUAUUUGUCAAGGGAGAAGUAGCUUCAUGAAUGGUUGACCUGAGAAAUGGUUGUGGUUUAGUGCGUAUUUCAUUUAUCGUUGGCAGUAUAUGAAAGUGUUGGAAUGAGACUUUAGUUGAUAAGAGGUUUUCUACCAGUAUUCGGUAGUUAUGGGCAGCUGCUGUGAAUAGAAGUUAUCGCUACGAGUGUUUGAGUUAUGUGGUAUAUCAUGGGAUUGCUCACGAGGUUGCAGGCAUGGGUUAUUAUAGCUGGUUCGGGUCUAUUCAGAGUAUAGGUGUGAGGUUUGGAUCGUAUUGAUGGUUUCAGAAAUGGAAAUGGGGUUCUAUGGCUUAUGGGGCAGACUGGAUUGUGUAAUUUCAGUUGCAAUGUGUUAUCGGACCUAUAUGAGAUAGGGUGACGUGGGAUCACCCCCGGGUAUAUGCAUGGUAAGGUUAUUCAGCGAUUGGUUGGCUUUUAGAACAACUCUGGGUACGUCCAGUUCUCGGGCAUGACUUUCCCCAUGUAAUGUAUUAUGACUGAUGUAGAUCAUUGGUUUUGGUUUUUAGGAAAAUCGGAAUGGAUUUGAAAGAACAGUCUCAGAUGAAAGCUUUGAAUUUGAAAGGUUUGACCAAGAGUUGACUUAUUUGUAUAAGAUCUCGAAAUGAAAUUUUUAUGAUUUGGUUAGCUUCAUUGGGUGAUUUAUGACUUAGGAGCGUGAUCGGAAUUGGUUUUGGAGGACCGGAGUAGAACUAGGCUUGAAUUGGCGAAGUUGAGAUUUUGGCUAUUUCCGGUUGGUAGGUGAGAUUUGAUCCGGGAGUCGUAAUGGAAUUCCGAGAGUUGCAAUAGCUCUGUUAUCUCAUUUGGGAUGUGUGUGCAAAAUUUCAGGUUAUUUGGACGUGGUUUGAUUGGUUUUUUGAUCGAAAGCGUAUUUCGGAAGAUUUUAGAAACUUAGGUUUGAAUUUGAUGUGAUUUGGUAGAUUUGAUGUUGUUUGAGGUGUUUUGACGAUUUGACCAAGUUUGAAUAAGGUAUUAUGUUAUUUUUGUGCUUUUAGUUGAGGUCCCGGGGGCCUCGGGAUGAUUUCGGGUGGUUAACGGAAGAGUUGAGGUGUAAUUGCAGCUUUAGAUUUUGCUGCUUCUGGUAUUUUUGCACCUGCGGUUUAGGGACCGCAGGUGCGGCGUCGCAUAUGCGUGUUUUUGCCCGCUCAAGCGGGAGAGGAGGAGAUGGUCUGGGAUCGCAGAAGCGGUCAGAUUAGCCGCAUUUGCGGAGUCGCAGAUGCGAAGGUUGUUUUGCAGAUGCGGGGCGUGGUCCCUUUAGUGAGUUCCACAGAAGCGAACGGGUGACCGCAAAUGCGGUACCACAAAAGCGCGCUUUUGUUCGUAGAUGCGAAAAAUCCCUGGGCAGAAUGUUUUAAUUCAUUUCAUCCGCAAUCUUGAAGCUCAUUUACUCCAUUGUUGACCAUUUUGAGAGUUGGUUGAAGGAAAUUGAAGAGGGAUUCGAGGGGAAUCACCUAGAGGUAAGAUUUUUGAACUCAAUACUUGAUUAUUAUUGUGAAAUCCACCUAGAAAUUCAUGGAACUAAGCUAUAAAUGGAAGAACUAGGGCUUGGAAUUUUGAACUUUUGAAUUGGGAUUUGAAGAACCAUUUGAGGUCGGAAUUGAGAACUUUUGGUACGUAUGAACUCGUGGGUGAUAAGGAAUCUAAUGAUAUAAAAAUUUCUAAGUUUCGUGAAGUGGGCCCAGGGCUCGGGUUUUGGUAAUUUCGGGAUUUGUGCCCGUUAUUAAUUUAUUUUGUUGGGCUUUGUUCCCUUAGUAUAUUUUGAUGUAUUCGUUCUGAUUUUGGAUAGAUUCGACGCGCGUGGAGGCCGAUUUGAGGGGCAAAGGCGUCGCGAGCUAGAGAUUUCGCCGGUUCGAGGUGAGUAAUGAUUGUAAUGAUGUCCUGAGGGUUUGAAACCCCGGAUUGCACAUCGUAGUGCUUUGUUGAGGUGAGACACGCGCUGGAUGAUGAGUGUGGGGUCUUUUAAUACUGGGGAUUGUGACUUGGUCCGUACCGAUUGAUGAUUUUACCGUGUAUUUGACAGAAACUUAUUUGUUACCAUCCUGAUUUGGGUUGAUUGCCAUAUUUGGGCUUCGUGCCAAUUAUUUGAACCCUUCGGGGAUUUUUAUCACUAUUUCCUCACUGUUUUGACUCAUUACUUGAACUCAGUCCUGUUGAUACCUACUGUUUUACAAACUCAGCCAUUUUUACUCAGUUUGAGACUUAAAUGAUAUUUUAAAUGAUGUUUUAGGCUGAGAACUACUGUUUUACUAAUGCCCGAGGGGCUUGUGAUGAUUUUCGGACUGAGGGAGGCCGAGGGACAUAUGUAUACUGAGUGAUGUGAGGUCGAGGGCCUAGGAUACUUGUUUACGCCACGAGGUGGCUUGAGCGAUGUGAGGCCGAGUGCCGAGUGAAGUGAGGCUGAGUGCCGAGUGAUGAUGCCACAAGGUGGCUUGAUAUAGUGCUUGGGCCGUAAGGGGCCCCUCCGGAGUCUGCACACCCACAGUGAGCGCGGGUACCCAUUAUUCUGAGAGUGAGCCCGAGGGGCUGAUACUAUUCUAAGAGUGAGCCCGAGGGGCUGAUACGAGUGAUUGUGCGGUAGCCCGAGGGGCUGGUACUGUUCUCAGAUAUUGCCCGAGGGGCUGUUACUGUUCUCAGAUAUUGCCCGAGGGGCGAACUUUUAUGUGUUCAUCUUUCAUAUUUACUUGUCAUUUUACCUGUUAUACUGUGGUAUUUGCGCCCAAGGGGCGGAUUUUCUGUGCUUAUUGGCACUAACUAUUUUGCAAUCAUUGCGUAAUUGUUGAAAAGUCAUUUUCAAAAGAGGUUUAAACUGAGCUAAGAUAUUUCUAAAGAUUUCACAGCUUCACUACUUUUCUCAAAGGGUUUUACACUGCUUCUAUACAACUUGUUGGUUGCUUUACGUAAUUUCUUACUGCUCAGUUGUUAUUUACCUUUAUUACUCACUGAGUUGGAGUACUCACUUUACUCCCUACACCUCGUGUGCAGAUGCAGGUAUUUAUUCCCCCGACAAUGGGUUUUAUGCUGAUCGGAGGCUGAGUUAUCGGAGUUUAGCAAGGUGGCUGCCAGCGUUCGCAGCAUCAUUUUUCUCCCUUUUCGUUCAUCAGUCCUGUUUUGUACAUUUUAGACCUUAUAGAUGUAUUUAUACUCUAAUAGAUGCUCGUGACUUGUGCCACCCCGGUAUCGGACUGUAUUUGGGUUGUAUUCUGCACUUUAUAAAGGAAUCUUUUGCUUAGUUUGUGGUUAUAUAAUCAUACUAAAACUGUUUAUUAAUAUUAACUAUUCUGAAAAGGC
rnacentral:lncRNA from 1 species